AUGCCAGGUCUGAUCUGGUUGCGCGUCCGCUUGAUCGUCUCUUGCCAUGAUGGUGUUGAUGGCGUCACGGAGUUCAUAUACAAUGGGUUCGCCCGCAGCAAGCUCCACCUCGACGGUGAGGCUUCCAUCUCAAAACACGGCGUCCUCUCUCUAACGAGCACCAGCUGCGGCGACAGCUCCUUCACCCAGGGGCAUGGCUUCCAUGCAGAAGCUCUUCCGUUUGUCAAUUCCCAUGGCGUGGCCAUGAGCUUCUCAGCCACUUUCGUGUUCUCCAUCACACCCAGCGACUCUGGCCUAUCCGGGGACGGGAUGUCGUUUGUCAUCUCCUUGGCCCCCCUCUUUGCCCCCCUCUCUGAUCCCUGGGCACAAGGGCAAUACUUGGGACUUGUCAAUCACGACAUCGAUGCCACACCUUUCUUCGCCAUAGAGCUCGACACCGUAGCCAACACGGAGUUCGAAGAUAUAGAUGACAACCAUGUCGGGGCUGAUCUCAACGACCUAACGUCCACUGCCUCUUCAACCGUGGGCUACUACAGCGGCAAUGUCGAGAUGGACUUCAAUCCGCUGAGGCUUUCUAGUGGAAAACCAGUGCAGGUUUGGGUGGACUACUAUGAAGUCUAUGAGUAUGAGAUGCAGGUCGACGUCACACUUGCUCCUGUCCCCAUGAAUAAGCCCUCUACACCGCUUCUAUCUUACUACCCCGUCGACCUUGCGAAGAUACUGAAGAAUGACACCAAGUCAAAGAAGGCAGGGGUUCCCACCACAGCAUACGUUGGUUUCUCUGCUGCCACCGGCGGUUUGUGUGGGGCUCAUCAGAUUCUUGGGUGGAGCUUUAACAUGUUUGGACCGGCCAAACCACUCAACUUAUCGCUGCUGCUGCCGCCAUUAAAACAAGUACGACAUAGUUCCAGGCAAGAAGCCCAUGACAAGAAAAAAAUCGUCAAAUGGGUGCCUGCUGCAACUAUAUCUUCGCUUGCCAUACUUGCAGGUAUAACAGCUUGCCUUCUCCUUCGAUGGUGGUGGUGCAAGAUCAGGAACUCAGAGAGGAAUGAAGACUGGGAGGCUGAGCUUGGGCCCCGCCGCUUGGCGUACAAGGACCUCCACAGGGCAACCGAUGGCUUCCAAGACAUACAGCUUCUAGGGAAAGGCGGCUUUGGGCAAGUCUAUAGAGGAGUCCUUGGCAGCUCUGGCAUGGACGUCGCGGUGAAGCGGAUCUCCUCAGAAUCCAAGCAGGGGCUGGCCGAAUUCACAGCUGAAAUCAUCAUCCUUGGCCGCCUACGACACCGGAACCUUGUUCGCUUGAUCGGCUAUUGCCGGCACAAGAAGGAGAUGCUCCUGGUGUACGAGUACAUGCCCAACGGCAGCCUGGAUAGCUACCUUCAUGCACAAACGAGGCAUGCAAUGCUCUCUUGGACUCAGAGGCUUCAUCUCAUCAAAGGCGUCGCGUCUGGGCUUCUGUACCUCCACGAGGACUGGGAGCAGGUCAUCAUACACUGUGACGUCAAGGCAAGCAACGUCCUCCUCGACGGGGAGAUGAAUGGUCAGCUGGGUGACUUCGGCCUUGCCAGGCUGCAUGACCAUGGUGCCGACGCACACACCACCCACGUGGCCGGCACGAGGGGCUACCUUCCCCCUGAGCUGACGAGGUUCGGCAAGGCGACCAAGGCAACUGACGUGUUUGUGUUUGGUGCCUUUGUCCUGGAGGUGGCCUGUGGUAGGCGUCCGGUGGGGUUCAACGCCCGCGGUGAGCUGCUGGUGCUCGUCUAA
rnacentral:rRNA from 1 species